rnacentral:rRNA from 1 species
GACGAACGCUGGCGGCGUGCUUAACACAUGCAAGUCGAACGGAAAGGCCCUGCUUUUGUGGGGUGCUCGAGUGGCGAACGGGUGAGUAACACGUGAGUAACCUGCCCUUGACUUUGGGAUACCUUCAGGACACUGGGGCUAAUACCGGAUAGGAGCUCCUGCUGCAUGGUGGGGGUUGGAAAGUUUCGGCGGUUGGGGAUGGUCUCGCGGCUUAUCCGCUUGUUGGUGGGGUUGUGGCUUACCAAGGCGUUGACGGGUAGCCGGCCUGAGAGGGUGACCGGCCUCGGUGGGGCUGAGAUACGGCGCAGACUCCUACGGGCAGCAGCAGUGGGGAAUGUUGCACAAUGGGAAGAAGCAUGCUGCGGCAACGCCGGGUGCGGGAUGACGGCCGUCGGGUUGUAAACCGCUUUCGCCUGUGACGAAGCGGGAGUGACGGUAAUGGGUGAAGAAGCACCGGCUAACUACGUG